rnacentral:misc_RNA from 1 species
UAUGCUUCGGUUUAUCUUGUCAGAAUGAGGUCUAUGGAGUACCAUGUCCUCCAAUUGUGACUUAUGUAUAUCCCCCGUAAGUGAGGAGGCCUUCUGAAUUUUAAAUCCGUUCUCCCUAUAUGCCAAAAAAGAGCUUGUUGGGGCAUUGAAGGAAUGGCCAGUAGAACAGGGACUUUUCAUAGCUUGAACCUUGGCUCCAUGGUUUUGCUCCAAUUCUCGUCCUGCAACGGGCAAAUCCUCAUUCAAAUCAACAAACUGAAACAGCCCUUCCCCUUCCGGUUCCCUUGGCGGAGAAACAUUCAUAUCAAGCGGCGGCGAUGAAUUCAUAUCAAGCUCGACUACUUCACUCCCUCCUGCUCCACCUCUGCCACCAGCACCGCUGCUGCCGUCAUCACUGCUACGACGGCGUCCACUUAGCACACACUUGAAGCAUUUCCACUCCUCUUUCUGCUCAUCCUUCCUCCAACUAGACCCAAUCUCACAAGAAGAACAAACCCGAACAUUGGUUUGACUGGGAGGAGUGAGCACCGACUUGGCCCUGGAAGAUUCUGGGUGUUCUAUAAACAAACCCCUUUCAAUUUCUCUCGGUGAAGGAAGAGGAGUUUCGUUAAGAUCGAUGUGAAAUGACAAAGCCCGGUUCAAAUUUGAAGAACAAUCCAUUUCUUGAACAAGUAUAAUUUUUUCUCAAAG